rnacentral:rRNA from 1 species
UGUAAGCGUAUACCAAAGUUGUUGCAGCUAAAACGCUCGUAGUCGGAAUUUGGCAGUUCCGGAUGUGUGCACGUCGUGUGCGCACUUCGCGGGGAUUGCUUUUGUGGUCUUGCGUAGGAUGAGGCACUUUUAUUAGUGAACGUCCUCACGCAACCACUUUUUACUGUGAGAAAAUCAGAGUGCUCAAAGCAGGCACUUGCCGUGAAUGUAUUAGCAUGGAAUAAUAGAAUAGGACUUGGUUCUAUUUUGUUGGUUUGUUGGGACUGAGUAAUGAUUAAGAGGGACAGUUGGGGGCAUUUGUAUUUCGGUGCUAGAGGUGAAAUUCUUAGAUUACCGAAAGACAAACUGCUGCGAAAGCGUCUGCCAAGGAUGUUUUCAUUGA